rnacentral:rRNA from 1 species
UACGGGGGGGGCAAGCGUUGUUCGGAAUUACUGGGCGUAAAGGGCGUGUAGGCGGCCAACUAAGUCCGACGUGAAAUCCCUCGGCUCAACCGGGGAACUGCGUCUGAGACUGAUGAGCUCGAGUGCAGGAGAGGAACGCGGAAUUCCAGGUGUAGCGGUGAAAUGCGUAGAUAUCUGGAGGAACACCGGUGGCGAAGGCGGCGUUCUGGACUGCAACUGACACUGAGGAACGAAAGCCAGGGGAGCAAACGGG